UCCAUACUAUGGACUAGGAUUCUGUAAUGACGUUUGAAUUGAAUUUAAUUGAAUUUUUUUAGUACUAUUCUAAUUUACUGAAUGGGUCUUUGGAUCAGGCUCUAACUUUUUAAAAUCAGGGAACACUUGUGUACAAAGAGUAAACAAGUGUAAGUGAGAUCUGGAUUCACAUUUAACUUUUCUACACUGACGCACUAAGAGAAAUGUAAUACAACCUCUGCAAUGUUCUAAAAUUACACACAGGUUUCAUAUUUAUCAUAUUUAUUUAUUAUCAAGUAACUCCUGUAUAUUUAUUGUAAAUUUUUUCAUUUAGGGGUCUAAGGGUAAGGGGGGAUAUUGGUGCUUUUUCACCAGACUUUAGUUUUAAUACAAAAAUGAAAACAAGAUUUUUUAUGUUACAUUUCUCCUUAAGACCAACACAAAGGCAUGGAAAAUGCUUCAUCCAAAUAAAAUUCAUUGAAAUGCCAGAUUCUAAUGUGAUAAAAAGAGAAGAAGUGUAAGUGGUAUGAAUACUUUUACCCCAUACCAAACGUUUUAUCAAAUAAUUGUAGAAAAUUAGUUUGUGCAUUUUUUUUCCUCCCUGCUCUGGUUUCCCACCUUGCUUCUCUUUUCUUUUGCAAAAGGUGUAUAUCCGCUCUGACCCAGGUAGGAAGAGAACAAAAGAGGUCAGAGAGCUUUUAAACCUCAAGACACACAGCAAAUUGUGGCUUUUGUGUACAGCUACCUUUACACGAGGCCCAGUACAAUCAAUCAGCAGUAUUACAGUUGUUCCAUAGUUUCUAACUCUAGGCUACAUUGUUCCUCUGGUUUGUUUUCUCCAGUGUAUACCCUCUUACAGAUGCAUUAACUAACAUUCCAUUUUGGUUUUUGGUCAAUUAAAAGCAGCAUUUUAACUUUAAGUGACUACUAAACUAAGAGACAAAGUGUUUUUGACAUUUUUAACUGGUUUAAUUUGGCUUGCUUGAAAAUUAAAGUAAAAACAAAAUCUUAAGUUCUACUUUUGAACUGCUAGUAUCUCCAGUGACCAGUAGCAAACAUUUAAAGGAAGGAUGCACACUGCAAAACCAAUUAAAGACAUUCCACCCUCAAUUGUGGAAAGGGAUUGCAUGACUGACCACUGAAAUGCCACGCAAAAGACUAAUUUUGGAAGUAGCCAAAUUCUGUUUUGCAUACUCAAGUUUACCUAUGAUGACAAUCAACAAUCCAAACAAACAAUGCAUAUGGCACCCACAUUAUGAAUUACAAUAGAGUGUAAGCAGGGUUCUGCAUGUUGAUGAAGGAUGAUCAGCCCUGUCACCUCAUGAUACGUAGGCCUCUGGUUCUGCUCUCCUGGGACUUAGCAUUGCAUUGAGAGGAGAACAUGCAAACCAGGUGCUUAUCCACAUGAAGGUUAGAAAAUACUAUGUGUAUAAGCAAAUGAAGCCGUGUGCAUCUAUAAACAUGAUGUAACUCCCCCUUGUCUAUGGGAUCUUCACUAAAAGGAAUUUAGACACAAAUCUGGUAUUUGCAAACCAGGAACAGAGAAGUGAAACAAAACAAUUCAACAUAUGAAAUAAAAUGGGAGCAAAAUAAAUGUGGAGGUUUGUCAGCAAGUUUAUACUUUUCAAAAAGCUAUAGUGUGAUGUCAAGAGUUUGUCCUUUCAAUGAACUGUGAAGUAGAAAAACAUUUAAAUGUUUUUUUCUAAGUAUUGGAGGUCAAAUUUUUUAUUUAUAAAGCAAUUAAGAAUAACAGUAACAAAGGCAUGUGCAACAAUAUUGCUCUUCUUUUCGAAAAGAAAUCAAAAGAAUAUUGAUUGUUUGUUGAAGUCAUAUAACAUUGAGAGCCUUUAGGAGUUUAAAAGAAAAACACAGGUGCUCUGUUGUUAUGGAUCUCUGCAAGGUUUUGUCUGCAGGCAGGGGAUAUUUAAUAUUUUUUGCAGGGGAAAGAAUUUUGCUAAAUUUGGCAACAAAAAGAUGCAAUCUAACAAAUCAGUAUUUGUUUUCAAAGGUUUUCACACUUUGAGAUCUACAACAAACAAGAAACCUUGAGCUGCUGCAGGUCCACGUUUGUUUGUCCUCUUCUCCAGAGAGGAUGUUUGUGUCUUUAGGAUCAUUUUUUCCUAUUUCUUGCUGUGAGGAAUUGUCAGUUGCUGAUUGAGGCCUACCUAUCAUACCACUGUUUAAAAAUUGAUGUGGAUCCCAGCGUUAGGCAGGACCUUAUGACAAGAUUUCACUUGCUCAGCCAUCAGACUUUUUUUUAUUAAAGGUACUUGAUGCUUUCUAUGGGAUUUCUGAUUUUUAAGUAAUGUGAACAUACACAUUUGGAUAUUGUAACUUGAAUGUAGGUUAUUGAAGCAGUGUGGUUGUGUUGCCUUUUUUAAAUAAAUUUUCUCUUAACUCUU